AUGGAAAUGGAGAUCGGCUCGACAGGCGCCACCGCAGCAUCCACCAACUUCUCGCUGCCGGUGGACUCUGAGCACAAGGCCAAGUCCAUCAAAAUCUUCUCCUUCGGCAACCCACACAUGCGUGCAUUCCACCUUGGAUGGAUGUCCUUCUUCACCUGCGUUGUCUCCACCUUCGCCGCCGCGCCACUCAUCCCCAUCAUCCGCGACAACCUCAACCUCACCAAGGCUGACAUCGGCAACGCUGGGGUCGCCUCUGUUUCUGGCGCCAUCUUCUCAAGGCUGGCCAUGGGCGCCAUCUGCGACCUUCUUGGCCCACGCUAUGGUGGUGCUUUCCUCAUCAUGCUUUCCGCACCAGCAGUGUUCUGCAUGUCCGUCAUCGACAGUCCCGCCGGAUACAUCACUGUACGCUUCCUCAUCGGUGUCUCACUUGCCACCUUUGUGUCAUGCCAAUACUGGAUCAGCACCAUGUUCAAUAGCAAGAUCAUUGGGACAGUCGGUGGCUUAACAGCGGGGUGGGGAGACAUGGGUGGAGGUGCCACACAGCUCAUCAUGCCCUUCGUCUUCGAUGCCAUCAAGGCAUGUGGUGCGACGCGUUUCACCGCGUGGCGCAUCGCCUACUUCGUGCCAGGAAUGAUGUUGGUGGUGAUGGGCUUGCUCGUGCUCACCUUGGGACAGGACCUUCCUGAUGGCAACCUGAGGAGCCUCCAGAAAAAUGGUGGCAUGAACAAGGACAAGUUCUCCAAGGUUCUACGGGGCGCCAUCACCAACUACCGUACAUGGAUCUUUGUCUUCAUCUAUGGCUAUUGCAUGGGUGUCGAGCUCACCUCAAACAACGUGAUUGCCGGGUACUACUACGAUAGUUUCUACCUCGACCUUCGAAAAGCAGGUAUCAUUGCCGCCUGCUUUGGCUUGGCCAAUAUCUUUGCACGCCCCAUGGGCGGGUACCUCUCUGACCUUGGUGCUCGGUACUUCGGCAUGCGUGCCCGACUCUGGAACAUCUGGAUCCUCCAGACUGCUGGUGGAGUCUUCUGCCUUUGUCUCGGUCGUGCAUCCACCCUUCCCACCUCCAUAGCAUGUAUGGUCCUGUACUCCAUAUGUGUUGAGGCUGCAUGCGGCGCCGUCUAUGGUGUCAUCCCCUUCGUCUCCCGCCGCUCCCUCGGGCUCGUCUCAGGCAUGACCGGUGCAGGCGGUAAUGUGGGUGGCGGUCUCACACAGCUCCUCUUCUUCACUUCAUCGCAAUACACCACCGGCAAAGGACUCCAGUACAUGGGCAUCAUGAUCAUGGCGUGCACGCUCCCCGUCAUUCUCGUGCACUUCCCACAGUGGGGCUCCAUGCUUGUCCCUCCCAGCGCGGACGCCACCGAGGAGGAGUACUAUGCCGCCGAGUGGACGGAGGAGGAGAAGGGCAAGGGCCUCCACAUGGCUGGCCUAAAGUUCGCCGAGAACAGCAUAUCCGAGCGUGGCAGACGCAAUGCCAUCCUCGCCGUACCUGCUACCCCGCCCAACAGCACGCCACAACACGUGUAA
rnacentral:rRNA from 1 species